GAUGAAGAACGUAGCAAAAUGCGAUAAGUAAUGUGAAUUGCAGAAUUCAGUGAAUCAUCGAAUCUUUGAACGCACAUUGCGCCCGCUGGUAUUCCGGCGGGCAUGCCUGUUCGAGCGUCAUUUCAACCCUCAAGCCCCCGGGUUUGGUGUUGGGGAUCGGCUCUGCCCUUCUGGGCGGUGCCGCCCCCGAAAUACAUUGGCGGUCUCGCUGCAGCCUCCAUUGCGUAGUAGCUAACACCUCGCAACUGGGACGCGGCGCGGCCAUGCCGUAAAACCCCAACUUCUGAAUGUUGACCUCGGAUCAGGUAGGAAUACCCGCUGAACUUAAGCAUAUCAAUAAGCGGAGGA
rnacentral:misc_RNA from 1 species